CCUACAACAUGACUCUCACUCCUUCCUGGUGGAAAUCUUGAGUAGACUAAGCUGCCGUGAUGCAUCCCUAUUCUUUCUGCCUGGAUUUCCAGCCAACACCGAGCAUUUAGGAAUUGACGAGUUAUGAGUUCAAGCAAAAAUGUAUUAAUAACAUGGUAGCCAGCUAUGAUGGAGCCCAUCUGUAAUCCCAGCAUUCUGGAGGCUGAGCACUACUCACAAUGGCAAAGAUAUAGAAGUAACUUAAGUGUGCACUGACGCAUGCACAGAUAAAGGAAAGUUGGCGCACGUACACAACAGAAUAUUAUUCUGCAGUACAAAGAAGGAAGUCCUGUCAUCGGAGACAACUUGGGUGAACUGAAAAGAUACUCUGUUAAGUGAAGUAAAUCAAACACAGAGGAAAAAAAAUACUGCAAGAUCUCAC
rnacentral:lncRNA from 1 species